UACAGAGGUCCCAAGCGUUGUUCGGAUUCACUGGGCGUAAAGGGUGCGUAGGUGGGUUGGUAAGUCAGUGGUGAAAUCUCCAGGCUUAACUUGGAAACUGCCAUUGAUACUAUCAAUCUUGAAUACCGUGGAGGUCAGCGGAAUAUGUCAUGUAGCGGUGAAAUGCUUAGAUAUAACAUAGAACACCAAUUGCGAAGGCAGCUGGCUACACGAAUAUUGACACUGAUGCACGAAAGCGUGGGGAUCAAACAGG
rnacentral:rRNA from 1 species